GGUGCUACUAUUGCGUGGGGACCCGAUUAAUGUGUCGUUCAAUUUGUUUGAGAGAUGUUGAACUAGUGUUUCUUUGUAAGAUUUGUCUGUGGAUGAUUGGUAGUGAAUUCAUUGGUAAUCGACGUUAGACGCUGCAAAAUCUGUGACAAUCUCUAGAAGGCAAAGCUUGCUUUGGACAGCUUUGAAGUUCCAGUUGGCUGUGUGAUUGUUGAGGAAGGGCAUCUUAUUGUGGCAGGAAGAAACAGGACUAAUGAGACACAGAAUGCAACAAGACAUGUAGAAAUGGAAGCACUUGACGUUCUUUUUGAAUAGUGGCGGAGGACUAGAUUUUCAUCUGCAGAAGUUGCAGAGAGUAAUGGAAAUUCUGGAUCAAAGUGUUUCAAAUGUUGUGGAGGUAUAAUGGCAUCAGAAGCGAUUUCUCUUCUUCAAGAUUUUUAUGAAUGAGGAAACCCAGAUGCUCCAAAGCCUCACAAGUCUCAUGUUACUCAAGCUUCUCAUUAGAUCUGCAUGCAUUGAUUCUUCCUGUUGAAUCCUCUCAUGGCUUUGCAUGACUAGAAUUUCAUCAAGGGACCCACGAAAGGAAGCGUGAUACUUGUCCGGAUCAAUUUUUGCCCGGAUGUUCAUGUGCUUACUGAGGGUUGCAGCUGUGAUCAGAAGUCCAUUUCAUGCUUUAACUUGAUAAUCAGAUUGUUAAGAUAAUUUACGGCAUAAACUGUGUAGGCAUCACUUUUCUGAUGCUAAUUUUUGUCAUCAACAUAUCCAAUAAUCGAGCUUAUUUUUUGUUCUA